rnacentral:rRNA from 1 species
GACGAACGCUGGCGGCGUGCUUAACACAUGCAAGUCGAACGAAGAGCGAUGGAAGCUUGCUUCUAUCAAUCUUAGUGGCGAACGGGUGAGUAACGCGUAAUCAACCCGCCCUUCAGAGGGGGACAACAGUUGGAAACGACUGCUAAUACCGCAUACGAUCUAAUCUCGGCAUCGAGGAUAGAUGAAAGGUGGCCUCUACAUGUAAGCUAUCACUGAAGGAGGGGAUUGCGUCUGAUUAGCUAGUUGGAGGGGUAACGGCCCACCAAGGCGAUGAUCAGUAGCCGGACUGAGAGGAUGAACGGCCACAUUGGGACUGAGACACGGCCCAGACGCAUACGGGAGGCAGCAGUGGGGAAACUUCCGCAAGAAACGAAAGACUGACGGAGCAACGCCGCGGGAGUGAUGACGGCCUUCGGGUUGGAAAGCUCUGUUAAUCGGGACGAAAGGCCUUCUUGCGAAUAGUGAGAAGGAUUGACGGUACCGGAAUAGAAAGCCACGGCUAACUACGUG